rnacentral:rRNA from 1 species
GACGAACGCUGGCGGCGUGCUUAACACAUGCAAGUCGAACGGAAAGGCCCUGCUUGCCGGGUACUCGAGUGGCGAACGGGUGAGUAACACGUGGGUGAUCUGCCCUGCACUUCGGGAUAAGCCUGGGAAACUGGGUCUAAUACCGGAUAUGACCUUCCAUGUAGUGUGGGGGGUGGAAAGAUUUAUCGGUGUGGGAUGAGCCCGGGGCCUAUCAGCUUGUUGGUGGGGGAGUGGCCUACCAAGGCGUCGACGGGUAGCCGGCCUGAGAGGGUGGCCGGCCCCAUGGGGCCUGAGAAGCGGCCGGACCCCCUCCGGGAGGCAGGGGUGGGGAAUAUGCCCCAAUGGGCGGAGGCCGGUGCGAGCGACCCCGGUGGGGGGUAGGCGGCCCUCGGGUUGUAAACCUCUUUCGACAGGGACGAAGCUUCGGUGACGUUACCUAUAUAAAAAGCCCCGGCUACCUACGU